AAACCGGAAGAGACUUCUUAAAUGAAGCACCGAAGGGGAUUAGAAACUCUCAGGUAAAAGGACCGGUUUU
rnacentral:ncRNA from 1 species